rnacentral:rRNA from 1 species
CAGUCACGCCGGUGGGAAAGUCAGCUUCCGGGAAACCAGGAGGUGCACUUUCUUGCAAGGCAGGUUAGCGUCAGUUUCGCCAGUCGUAAAAAGAUCAUUGGAAUGUGACUCCUUUCGGAGUUUUAUAGCCAGCGAUUGAUGUGACGUGCGGGAUUGAGGAUUGCAGCGGGUGCCUUUCGGGGCUAAGUGCUUGGGGACCCUUG